CACAUACUUCCUCCAUCCAAAAAUACUUGUCGCACAAAUGGAUAUAAAUGAAUGUAUUUAGAAGUAAAAUACAUCUAGAUACAUCCAUUCCUAUGACAAGUACUUCCGGACGGAGGGAGUACUAG
rfam:Hordeum vulgare subsp. vulgare, WGS project CAJW01000000 data, contig: morex_contig_1560905